UACAGAGGGUGCAAGCGUUAAUCGGAAUUACUGGGCGUAAAGCGUGCGUAGACGGUUAUGUAAGUUAGGUGUGAAAGCCCCGGGCUCAACCUGGGAAUUGCAUUUAAGACUGCAUAGCUAGGGUGCGGAAGAGGGAAGCGGAAUUUCCGGUGUAGCGGUGAAAUGCGUAGAUAUCGGAAGGAACAUCAGUGGCCAAAGCGGCUUCCUGGUCCAGCACCGACGUUCAGGCACGAAAGCGUGGGGAGCAAACAGG
rnacentral:rRNA from 1 species